GUCAUGGGUUAAUUUCCUAAGCAAAAGCCAUUGCUCUGGCUGGCAGGGACCUAUAGCUACAUACCCUAACCUCGUUGCUUCUCUUCCUCCCAACCUUUUUUUUUCUCAUUUUCUGGUGGUGGAGCGUUUCCACUGCCAUUUCCGACUGGCAACUCGUCGAGUUCAACUUCAAACCCACACAGCAAAGCAUGCAUAUGGAUCCGUAACAAUCCAUUGGUGUGAACGCGUGCAUGGCCCGUUGAUAGAGAAGAGGAGAAGAGAAGAGAAUUUAAGAGGGAAAGUUUGUACGUACGCGCUUGCUUGGAGAGAUCGAGCUGGAUUAUCUAAUUAUUUGCUGGCUGCGUGGGAGGCCGGGGUAUAUAUGAUUUCGAUCGACCGGGCAGAAAAAUAAAAUCAAGCUGG
rnacentral:misc_RNA from 1 species